AGGCUCGGCAUCGCUGCUGCCCUGGACCUUGCCUGGAGCACCGUGCAGCAGUCCUGGAGACCUGCAGGGCUCCUGCUCCAGCUGCUCCUCAUCAGCUUGAAUGCCUGUUCUGGGUGUCUAAUUGUCCUCAAGCUGCUGUCACAGGCUGGGCACAGAGUCUGGAAACAAGGUCUGCCACCCCAGCACAGACCUGGGCUUUAUUUUGGUUUUUGUUUGUUUCCUUACAAGCAUUUUUUAAAUCUUAAUGCCAUACGGUUUCUGUCUACUACAGCUUGUGGAAGGGGCUGGCCAGCUGAAACAUCCUGACAUCCUUUAUACCUGUAAACCACAGUCUUACACCUAUCUGAAGGCUGGGCCAGGAGCCCCUUGGACUGUCCUCCUUCCUCUGCUGCACUGAGAAAAUCUGAACCAGGAUGAUACGUUAAAUUCCCUGGCCCACAUUGCCCUGCUGUCCAGAAUGGCACCAUCACACAGCAACCACCCCGAGCUGCCCAAGCAAGAGGCUGCAGGUUUGAGCCUUCCUGAGCCUUCCCCCAGCCAGAGCAAGCUGUGCAAGCAGGCACACGGAAACCUGCAAGAAAAGCCAGUGGAGUCCAGGCCCAGGGGCAACUGAUGCAUCCAGCAGACGACAGCAGCAGGUCCAUUCCUUACGAGCUACAAAGAGAAUGAACCAGAGUCAGGAGGGAAACCAGCAAGACAUGGUGAAAAACACCCUAUAGCUUUUAACUAAUGUCUUUGAGAUCUAGCCAUCUGUUACCAUGAAAUUCAAGUAAGAAGCAGCCACCAUUUUGAAGACAGUCGCUUAAAAAUGUGAGAGAAUUUAGCCCUUGAUUCCUUGGACAGAAACCUGCUUCGAUGCCCACCUGAAAGGCCAACGCACAAACUACAAACCUCUCUGGGUGAACUGACAACCCAAAAUGAAAACCAGACCUGGGAAGACCAGCCAAAUACAGCCUGUGGGAAGGCAUCAGCACAGCUUCAGCUUACACUGCAGCGUGCCAGGGCUGCGAUCCUCCUUUUCCAUGGACUCUCCAGUGCCCAGCAGUUCAUGAAGCAUCUCUGAGUAUGCGAGGUGGUGCCUCCAGCCCUGUCCCAGCACCCAGGGGACCUCAUUAGGAAACACAAAUAUUCUCCAAAAGCUGCCUAAAAGCUAUUAAAAGC